GCCGCAGAGAGCGUAAUCGCGACCGCGGCCUGAGGGGGAGGGACCACGCGCAAGCAGGGGCGUAACCUGUCACGUGACGAGGAAGCACUGUUAACAGCUUUGUCCCGGCGUCCCCGGCGCUCCGGAAUGAUGUAAGCCGCGGAGGGGAGGGGCAGGAGAGCAAACUGAAGCUCAGGUGCGUCUCUUAGUGCGCGAGUCUUGCUGAGGACUGUAGCCUGACUGACAGCCACGCAGCCCUGAGGAAACUGUUCUGAGAGGUUUUAUUCAGGAAUACUGUGCCUGUCACUCAACAUAGUUUCAUCUUUCUGGAUAAAUGACUUUUGUGCCAGUGAUACCAGAGUCCUACAGCCAUGUUCUUGCAGAGUUUGAGUCUCUGGAUCCAUUACUUUCAGCCCUGAGGCUGGACUCCACUCGUCUGAAGUGUACGAGCAUAGCUGUGUCUCGAAAAUGGUUGGCUUUGGGCAGUUCGGGAGGAGGACUCAAUCUCAUUCAGAAAGAAGGAUGGAAGCAAAGGCUUUUUCUUUCACACAGGGAAGGUGCAAUUUCUCAGAUUGCCUGUUGUUUACAUGAUGAUGAUUAUGUUGCUGUGGCUACCAGUCAAGGUCUUGUAGUCGUUUGGGAAUUAAAUCAGGAGCGUCGCGGGAAACCGGAACAAAUUUAUGUGUCUUCAGAACACAAAGGCCGAAAAGUUACAGCUCUGUGUUGGGAUACAGCUAUUCUUAGAGUUUUUGUAGGUGACCAUAUGGGGAAAGUUUCUGCCAUCAAAAUCAACACUUCUAAACAAGCAAAGGCAGCUGCUACCUUUGUGAUGUUUCCUGUUCAGACAAUAACAACAGUUGACUCCUGUGUUGUCCAGUUAGAUUAUUUGGAUGGAAGACUACUUAUAUCUUCACUUACUCGAUCCUUCUUGUGUGACACUGAGAGAGAAAAGUUUUGGAAAAUUGGAAACAAGGAAAGAGAUGGAGAAUAUGGAGCUUGUUUCUUCCCUGGAAGAUGUUCUGCCGGCCAGCAGCCCCUGAUAUACUGUGCUCGCCCUGGCUCCAGAAUGUGGGAAGUGAAUUUUGAUGGAGAAGUUAUAAGUACUCAUCAGUUUAAGAAACUCCUCUCGUCACCACCUCUUCCCGUGAUUAAUCUAAGAUCAGAACCUCAGUAUGAUCAUACCAUUGGAUCCUCCCAGUCUUUGUCUUUCCCCAAACUCUUACAUAUUAGUGAGCAUUGUGUGCUGACUUGGACAGAAAGAGGAAUUUAUAUUUUCAUUCCUCAGAAUGUUCAAGUUCUUCUUUGGAGUGAAGUCAAAGAUAUUCAGGAUGUGGCUGUCUGUAAGAAUGAGCUGUUCUGUUUGCACCUAAAUGGGAAGGUCUCACAUCUUUCCCUGUUAUCUGUGGAGCGCUGUGUGGAACGCCUGCUAAGGAGAAACCUGUGGAACCUGGCUGCUCAAACUUGCUGUCUUUUCCAAAAUUCUAUCAUUGCCAGCAGAGGAAGAAAAACUUUGACUGUAGAUAAAUUGGAACAUUUGAAAUCUCAGCUGGACCUAACAACAUAUGGUGAUCUAAUUUCCCAACUGGAAGAAUUGAUCUUAAAAUUUGAACCUUUGGAUUCAGCUUGUAGCAGUAGAAGAAGCUCCAUUUCAUCACACGAAAGUUUCAGCAUCUUGGACUCUGGUAUUUACCGUAUCAUUAAUAGUAGAAGAGGCAGUCAGUCAGAUGAAGACUCUUGUUCCCUUCACAGCCAAACCCUCUCAGAAGAUGAGAGACUUAAAGAAUUCACCUCACAUCAAGAAGAGGACCAACCAGAUCAGUGUUGCAGCUCACACGGAAAUGAAGACAGUGUUUCUCAUGCUUCAGUGACGUCUGAGACAGAUAAGAAUGAAACUUUUCUCCCCUUCGGCAUUGCACUAUCAUUUCGUUCUCCAUCUCCUCUUGUGUCUCUUCAGGCUGUCAAGGAAAGCGUUUCUAGCUUUGUGCGUAAAACUACUGAGAAGAUUGGCACCCUUCAUACAAGCCCUGAUCUGAAAGUGAGACCAGAACCCAAAGGUGAUGAGCAGUCAUGUGAAGAGGAUGUGGGUCCAGUCACUUGCCCAAAGGAGGAAGACACUGAGGGAAAAGAAGAAGUAACUAGUCAACCUCCAGAAGAGGACAAGUUCCAAGAGCUCAAAAUGGCAACAGCAGAAACAAUGAGCAAGCUGCAGGACCCACUGGUUUUGUUUGAACCGAAGUCUCUGGAAAUGGUUUUACAGGAGUGGCUUUCACAGUUAGAAAAAACAUUUGCCAUGAAGGACUUUUCAGGUGUUUCAGAUACUGGCAACUCAUCCGUGGAAUCAAACCAGGAUAUGCUAUUGUUUGAUGAGUCAGAAAAGGGAAUAUUAACUGAAGAAGAUGAAAAAGAAAAAAGGGACUCUUUAGGCAAUGAAGAAACUGUUGAUCAAACAGCAUGUGAAUCUGUGAAUAGUUUGAGGAUGAUGGAUGAUGACCUUUUUCAAAUAUGUUCUCCAUGCAGUAUAGCAGACAGUCUUCAGAAGGACCUGGCUGAAUUGACAACAUUGUGUUUGGAGCUGAAUGUAUUGAAUUCUGAGAUCAAAAGUGCAAGUGGACAAGUGGACCACACUUUGCAACAGUGCUCUCCUGAAAUUCUGGCUUGUCAGUUCCUAAAGAAGUACUUUUUUCUUUUGGACUUGAAAAGGGCAAAGGAGAGCAUCAAGCUGAGUUAUAAUAACAGUCCUUGUGUUUGGGAUACUUUUAUUGAAGGAUUGAAAGAAAUGGCAAGUUCCAAUCCUACAUAUAUAAAGAUGGAAGAAGGAGACCUUCCAACAAGAUUGAAGUUAUUGGAUGACUCGGUCCCUUUUGACAGUCCUUUGUUGAUUGCUUAUGCUACCCGAUUGUAUGAGAAAUUUGGAGAAUCUGCGCUUCGAUCCUUAAUCAGGUUUUACCCAUCCAUUUUGCCUUCAGAUGUCAUGCAACUUUGUCAUCGUCAUCCUGCUCAGUUUUUGGCCUAUUUAGACAGUCUGGUGAAAUCAAGGCCUGAAGAUCAGCGGCCAUCCUUCCUGGAGUCCCUCCUACAACCAGAGUCUUUAAGAUUGGAUUGGCUGCUGUUGGCAGUGUCCCACAAUGCUCCCCCAAACACCAGCACUAUGGACGAUGCAGGAGACCCCAGGCCUCAUUCCCACUUGUUUUCCUGGGGUUACAAUCAGCUAAUCCUUCAUCUAAUUAAACUUCCUGCGGAUUUUACGACAAAAGAGAAAAUGACUGACAUCUGUAGGUCUCAUGGUUUCUGGCCUGGAUAUCUUAUUCUCUGUUUGGAGCUGGGGAGAAGAAGAGAGGCCUUCACCAACAUUGUGUAUCUAAAUGAUAUGAGCCUGAUGGAAGGGGACAAUGGUGCUGAGGGAGAAAGAGGCUACAUCCGUGGCUCCUGCCCUCUGCUUGUGAGUCAGCAGUAUCCAGCCACCACCAUGGCCCCACAGCUUUCCAUGGUUGGAUCCCAGAGACUGUGGAGGAAUGGAAGCUUCUCCUACAUCUGGUACAGAACAAGAGCACAAAGCCAGCCCCCCAGAAGUCACCAAAUGGGAACUUCAGCGAUGGGCCUUCCCCUAUCAAUGUGGAGAAUGUGGCACUCCUGUUAGCGAAGGCCAUGGGCCCAGACCGGGCCUGGUCACUGCUGCAGGAGUGUGGUUUGACUCUUGAGCUGUCAGAGAGGUUUACCAGAACCUGCGAUAUCCUGCGGAUUGCCGAGAAAAGGCAGAGAGCCUUGAUACAAAGCAUGCUUGAAAAAUGUGAUCGGUUUCUCUGGUCUCAGCAGGCCUAGGUGAAGAAGAUUUGGCAGGGUGUCAUGACGUUUUGAGAAAAACUGAAUCGUGCUUCUGAACCUUCUGAAUGCAUUUGUCAUUGAAGGAAAGGCCCCACCCGAGAUCCCUGCCACCUUCCUGGGAGCACCUUUGUCCAUGUCUGUAACCUCUGCAUUUGUGGCUGUAUCUGACCUCAGUGUUUUUCAACCAGAGUUGAAUUCUGAAAGGAAUCAGUCCUUGUUUGCUGAAAUGAAGUACUCUGGAAGGAAUCAGAAUGUGAAUAUCCGCAGCUGUACUGCCCUUGUUCUGAACAACAGAAUUAUUUGUUCCUUGCUGAUGGACUGGGGGAAUUCUUUGCCUAUCAUGACUGCCAUGUAGGGAGCAGGAAUUUCUCAUCCUGGUCACAUGAAGACAUAAAAUAUAAUUGACAGAAAUUGAA